UACGUAGGGUGCAAGCGUUAAUCGGAAUUACUGGGCGUAAAGCGUGCGCAGGCGGUUUUGUAAGUCUGAUGUGAAAUCCCCGGGCUCAACCUGGGAAUUGCAUUGGAGACUGCAAGGCUAGAAUCUGGCAGAGGGGGGUAGAACUCCACGUGUAGCAGUGAAAUGCGUAGAGAUGUGGAGGAACACCGAUGGCGAAGGCAGCCCCCUGGGUCAAGAUUGACGCUCAUGCACGAAAGCGUGGGGAGCAAACAGG
rnacentral:rRNA from 1 species